rnacentral:rRNA from 1 species
GAUGAACGCUGGCGGCGUGCCUAAUACAUGCAAGUCGAGCGAACAGACGAGGAGCUUGCUCCUCUGACGUUAGCGGCGGACGGGUGAGUAACACGUGGAUAACCUACCUAUAAGACUGGGAUAACUUCGGGAAACCGGAGCUAAUACCGGAUAAUAUAUUGAACCGCAUGGUUCAAUAGUGAAAGACGGUUUUGCUGUCACUUAUAGAUGGAUCCGCGCCGCAUUAGCUAGUUGGUAAGUUAACGGCUUACCAAGGCAACGAUGGUUAGCCGACCUGGGAGGGGAUUCGCCACCACGGAACCGGAGCACCGUCCCAAACCCCAAGGGAGGCAGCAAGUGGGAAACCUCCGCAAAUGGCGAAAACCCGACCGAACCAAGCCCCGUGAAUGAUUGAGGGUUUCGGAUCCUAAAACCUUUGUAAUUGGGAAAAACAAAUUUUGAAGGUACUAAGCACGUCUUUACCGUAACUAAUCCGAAAGGCACGGCUAACUUCGUG